rnacentral:rRNA from 1 species
UGGGGAAUUUUGGGACAAUGGGCGAAAGCCUGAUCCAGCAAUGCCGCGUGUGUGAAGAAGGCCUUCGGGUUGUAAAGCACUUUUGUCCGGAAAGAAAUCCUUGGCUCUAAUACAGUCGGGGGAUGACGGUACCGGAAGAAUAAGCACCGGCUAACUACGUGCCAGCAGCCGCGGUAAUACGUAGGGUGCAAGCGUUAAUCGGAAUUACUGGGCGUAAAGCGUGCGCAGGCGGUUUGCUAAGACCGAUGUGAAAUCCCCGGGCUCAACCUGGGAACUGCAUUGGUGACUGGCAGGCUAGAGUAUGGCAGAGGGGGGUAGAAUUCCACGUNUAGCAGUGAAAUGCGUAGAGAUGUGGAGGAAUACCGAUGGCGAAGGCAGCCCCCUGGGCAAUACUGACGCUCAUGCACGAAAGCGUGGGGAGCAAACAGGAUUAGAUACCCUGGUAGUCCACGCCCUAAACGAUGUCACUAGUUGUUGGGGAUUCAUUUCCUUAGUAACGUAGCUAACGCGUGAAGUUGACCGCCUGGGGAGUACGGUCGCAAGAUUAAAACUCAAAUGAAUUGACGGGGUCAUAGCUGUUUCCU